rnacentral:rRNA from 1 species
UACGGCCGUGUCACGUUGAAACAUCGGUUCCCGUACGAUCAAAGAAAUUAAGCAACGUCGAGCCUGGUCUGUACCUGGAUGGGCGACCGCUUGGAAAUACCAGAUG